UACAGAGGUCCCAAGCGUUGUUCGGAUUCAUUGGGCGUAAAGGGUGCGUAGGCGGCGCGGUAAGUCGGGUGUGAAAUCUCGGGGCUUAACUCCGAAACUGCAUUCGAUACUGCCGUGCUUGAGGACUGGAGAGGAGACUGGAAUUUACGGUGUAGCGGUGAAAUGCGUAGAUAUCGUAAGGAAGACCAGUGGCGAAGGCGGGUCUCUGGACAGUUCCUGACGCUGAGGAGCGAAAGCAUGGGGGAGCGAACAGG
rnacentral:rRNA from 1 species